GAUGAACGCUGACGGAAUGCUUAACACAUCAGCAAUUGAUUGGUGGCGGACGGGUGAGUAACGCGUAAAUAACUUGCCUCACAGCUAGGGACAACAUUUGGAAACGAAUGCUAAUACAUAAUACUGUGAGAGAGCUUUGCGUCCCAUUAGCUAGUUGGCGAGGUAACGGCUCACCAAGGCGAGGAUGGGUAGCCGGCCUGAGAGGGUGAUCGGCCACAAGGGGACUGAGACACGGCCCUUACUCCUACGGGAGGCAGGAGGGAGGAAUAUUGGAUAAUGGACCAAAGUCUGAUACAGCAAUUCUGUGUGAACGAUGAAGUUUUCGGAAUGUAAAGUGCUUUUAGUUGGGAAGCGGUACCAACAGAAGAAGUGACGGCUAAAUACGUGCCAGCAGCCGCGGUAAUUC
rnacentral:rRNA from 1 species